rnacentral:rRNA from 1 species
AGGACGAACGCUGGCGGCGUGCUUAACACAUGCAAGUCGAGCGGAAAGGCCCUUCGGGGUACUCGAGCGGCGAACGGGUGAGUAACACGUGAGUAAUCUGCCCCUAGCUCUGGGAUAGCUCCGGGAAACCGGGAUUAAUACCGGAUACGACCACUUUAGACAUCUGUUGUGGUGGAAAGAAUUUUGGCUAGGGAUGAGCUCGCGGCCUAUCAGCUUGUUGGUGGGGUAAUGGCCUACCAAGGCGACGACGGGUAGCCGGCCUGAGAGGGCGACCGGCCACACUGGGACUGAGACACGGCCCAGACUCCUACGGGAGGCAGCAGUGGGGAAUAUUGCGCAAUGGGCGAAAGCCUGACGCAGCGACGCCGCGUGGGGGAUGAAGGCCUUCGGGUUGUAAACCCUUUCAGCAGGGACGAAGCGAAGUGACGGUACCUGCAGAAGAAGCGCCGGCUAACUACGCGCCAGCAGCCGC